rnacentral:rRNA from 1 species
CGUGCAGGCGGUUCGGUAAGUUGGGCGUGAAAUCUCCCGGCUCAACUGGGAGAGGUCGUCCAAUACUACCGGACUCGAGAGCAGUAGAGGAAGACGGAAUUCCCGGUGUAGUGGUGAAAUGCGUAGAUAUCGGGAGGAACACCAGUGGCGAAGGCGGUCUUCUGGACUGCUUCUGACGCUCAGACGCGAAAGCUAGGGUAGUAAACGAGAUUAGAGACCCCGGUAAUCCUAGCCGUAAACGAUGUGAACUUGGCGUCGGUGGCUUAAACACCAUCGGUGCCGCAGCCAACGCGAUAAGUUCACCGCCUGGGGACUACGAUCGCAAGAUUAAA